GAUGAAGAACGUAGCGAAAUGCGAUAAGUAAUGUGAAUUGCAGAAUUCAGUGAAUCAUCGAGUCUUUGAACGCACAUUGCGCCCCCUGGUAUUCCGGGGGGCAUGCCUGUCCGAGCGUCAUUGCUGCCCUCAAGCACGGCUUGUGUGUUGGGCCCCGUCCUCCGAUCCCGGGGGACGGGCCCGAAAGGCGGCGGCGGCACCGCGUCCGGUCCUCGAGCGUAUGGGGCUUUGUCACCCGCUCUGUAGGCCCGGCCGGCGCUUGCCGAUCAACCCAAAUUUUUAUCCAGGUUGACCUCGGAUCAGGUAGGGAUACCCGCUGAACUUAAGCAUAUCAAUAAGCGGAGGA
rnacentral:misc_RNA from 1 species